UACGUAAGGGGCAAGCGUUGUUCGGAUUAACUGGGUGUAAAGGGUCCGCAGGCGGCCUGGCAAGUCGGGUAGUGAAAUCCCGGGGCUCAACCCCGGAAUUGCUCUCGAGACUGCCUCGCUUGAGUGCGAGAGAGGUAAAUGGAAUUCCUGGUGUAGCGGUGAAAUGCGUAGAUAUCAGGAGGAACACCGAUGGCGAAGGCAAUUUACUGGCUCGCAACUGACGCUCAUGGACGAAGGUGUGGGGAGCAAA
rnacentral:rRNA from 1 species